GAUGAACACUAGCUACAGGCUUAACACAUGCAAGUCGAGGGGAAACGAUAGAGAAAGCUUGCUUUUUCUAGGCGUCGACCGGCGCACGGGUGAGUAACGCGUAUCCAACCUGCCCAUCACUUGGGGAUAACCUUGCGAAAGUAAGACUAAUACCCAAUGACGUCUCUAGAAGACAUCUGAACGAGAUUAAAGAUUUAUCGGUGAUGGAUGGGGAUGCGUUUGAUUGGCUUGUUGGCGGGGUAACGGCCCACCAAGGCGACGAUCAGUAGGGGUUCGGAGAGGAAGGUCCCCCACAUGGGAACGUAGGCACGGUGCAAACGCCUACGGGAGGCAGCAGGAAGGAAUAUUGGUCAAUGGGCGAGAGCCUGAACCAGCCAAGUAGCCUGCAGAAUGACGGCCCUAUGGGUUGUAAACUACUUUUUUAAGGGAAUAAAGUGAGUCUCGUGAGACUUUUUGCAUGUACCUUAUGAAUAAGGACCGGCUAAUUCCGUGCCAGCCGCCGCGGUAA
rnacentral:rRNA from 1 species